GGAGGGAAUAUUGGGCAAUGGAGGCAACUCUGACCCAGCCAUGCCGCGUGCAGGAUGACGGCCCUCUGGGUUGUAAACUGCUUUUGUACGGGAAGAAAAAAUACUACGUGUAGUAUACUGACGGUACCGUAAGAAUAAGGAUAGGCUAACUCCGUGCCAGCAGCCGCGGUAAUACGGAGGAUACAAGCGUUGUCCGGAUUUAUUGGGGUUAAAGGGUGCGGAGGCGGAUCUUUAAGUCAGUGGUGAAAGACUGCAGCUUAACUGUAGAAUUGCCAUUGAAACUGAAGAUCUUGAAUGUGGUGAAAGUAGGCGUAAUGGAUCAUGUGGCGGUGAAAUGCUUAGAUAUGAUACAGAACACCGAUAGCGAAGGCAGCUUGCUGAACCAUUAUUGACGCUGAGGCACGAAAGCGUGGGGAGCGAACAGGAUUAGAUACCCGGGUAGUCC
rnacentral:rRNA from 1 species